AGCAGGCUCUGUGGAUGCCCAGACAGGCAGUCCACCAUGGGGGCUGGUUCUUAGCAUAACCACCUGACCUGCCCCCAGGCCACCAGAGGGUGCCAUCCUCGAAACAAUCUUGGAAAACUCAGGUGACAGCAGAUGCUGGCGAGGAUGUGGAGAAACAGGAACACUCCUCCAUUGCUGGUGGGAAUGCAAACUGGUACAACCAUUCUGGAAAGCAGUCUGGCGGUUCCUCAGAAAUUUGGACAUAGUACUACUGGUGGAUCCAGCAAUUCCAUUUCUGGGCAUAUACCCAGAAGAUGUUCCAACUUGUAAUAAGGACACAUGCUCCACUAUGUUCAUAGCAGCCUUAUUUAUAAUAGCCAGAAGCUGGAAAGAACACAGAUGUCCAUCAACAGAGGAAUGGAUACAAAAAAUGUGGUACAUUUACACAAUAGAGUACUAUUCAGCUAUUAAAAACAAUGACUUCAUGAAAUUCCUAGGCAAAUGAGUGGAUCUGGAGGAUAUCAUCCUUAGUGAGGUAACCCAAUCACAAAAGAACACACAUGAUAUGCACUCACUGAUAAGUGGAUAUUAGCCCAGAAACUAGAAUACCCAAGAUACAAUUUUCAAAACACAUGAAACUCGAGAAGAAGGAAGACCAAAGUGUGAAUAUUUCAUUCCUUCUUAGAAUGGGGAACAAAAUACCCAUGGAAGGAGCUAUAGAGACAAAGUUUGGAGCUGAGAUGGAAGGAAGGACCAUCCAGAGACUGCCCCACCUGGGGAUCCAUCCCAUAAACAACCACCAAACCCAGACACUAUUACAUAUGCCAGCAAGAUUUUGCUGAUAGGACCCUGAUAUAGCUGUCUCCUGUGAGGUUAUGCCAGUGCCUGGCAAAUAUAGAAGUGGAUGCUCAUAGUCAUCUAUUAGAUGGAACACAGGGCCCCCAAUGAAGGAGCUAGAGAAAGUACCCAAGAAGCUAAAGGGGUCUGCAACCCUAUAGGAGGAACAACAAUAUGAACUAACCAGUACCCCCCCCCCCCCCCCCAGAGCUCGUGUCUCUAGCUGCAUAUGUAGCAGAGGAUGGCCUAGUCGGCCAUCAAUGGGAGGAGAGGCCCUUGGUCUUGCAAAGAUCAUAUGUCCCAGUACAGGGGAAUGCCAGGGCUAGGAAGUGGGAGUGGGUGGGUUGGGGAGCAGGGAGGGUAUAGGGGACUUUUGGGAUAACAUUUGAAAUGUAAAUGAAGAAAAUAUCUAAUAAAAAAAAGUUGUUUGAAAAGCAACCA
rnacentral:lncRNA from 1 species